GACGAACGCUGGCGGCGUGCUUAACACAUGCAAGUCGAACGAAGAGCGAUGGAAGCUUGCUUCUAUCAAUCUUAGUGGCGAACGGGUGAGUAACGCGUAAUCAACCUGCCCUUCAGAGGGGGACAACAGUUGGAAACGACUGCUAAUACCGCAUACGAUCUAAUCUCGGCAUCGAGGAUAGAUGAAAGGUGGCCUCUACAUGUAAGCUAUCACUGAAGGAGGGGAUUGCGUCUGAUUAGCUAGUUGGAGGGGUGACGGCCCACCAAGGCGAUGAUCAGUAGCCGGUCUGAGAGGAUGAACGGCCACAUUGGGACUGAGACACGGCCCAGACUCCUACGGGAGGCAGCAGUGGGGAAUCUUCCGCAAUGGACGAAAGUCUGACGGAGCAACGCCGCGUGAGUGAUGACGGCCUUCGGGUUGUAAAGCUCUGUUAAUCGGGACGAAAGGCCUUCUUGCGAAUAGUGAGAAGGAUUGACGGUACCGGAAGAGAAAGCCACGGCUAACUACGUG
rnacentral:rRNA from 1 species